rnacentral:lncRNA from 1 species
GUACAACACAUUUACUCUUUUUUUUUUUAUUCAUUUUCGUAUUUUUUCAGUAUUUUAAGAAUCUAUUUUUUUCCAUUAUUUUCUACGUGAUAUCAAAAAUUAUGAAUUUAAAAAAAAAAAUCCGUCUCAGUCAUGUAUAGACAUUCAUAGGAAACUAUAGGAAACUGUAGUAAUCUGUAGUAACCUGUAGUAAUCCAUAGACAUCUAUGAUAGCAUAUUCUUGAAACCCUAGUUUCUCCUUUUAACCCUAGCCGCCAGACACCCAUAGUAACCCAUAGACAUCAAAUCGAAUUUUUUUGGAUUUAUCCCACCAAACCCUAGAUCCACCCACCAAACCCUAGAUCCGUGAUGCCGAAAGCCACCCACCCCAUCCACGCCUCUAAGGAUACCACCGGCCACCCCACCCACGCUGCCAUCACAUAUCCGCGCAUCACCGCACCACCAACACCAUUCUCGAACUCCGAGCGUCGCCGCUGGGCAGCGUUACCCUCGAAGCCGCCUCCGCUACGCAUUCCAUUGCCGCUUCAGAUCCACCGCCUCCACCAUAGAUCCGACGCGCCACCGCUACCCACUUCGUCGGCGCCUUCACCAUAGAUUCACCGCAACCGCAGCCGCCGCCUUAAUAUUCAGAUCUGCCCACUCCGCCGCCGCCUUCUCGUCCGCCGCCACCCCGUUUGCUUCUCCAAUCAAAAAACUAGUUUAGAGAAAGGGAGAGAAAAAGAGAAAAUAAAAUGAGAGACAGAGAGAGAAAGAAAGAAAACGAUGGAGAAAGAGGGAGAGAAAAGGAGAGAAAGGAAGAGACGGGAGAGGGAGGGGAUAGAGAGAGAAUGAGGGGAGA